ACAAAGAAAAAUGAGAAAACAACGCCAAAUUCCCUCCUGAUUCCCUUUUAUCCAAAAAUCUUUUCAUUUCCAUUCCCCUCUUUCUCUCCCUUCUCUCUUCCUAUUUUAUCCUUCCCAAAGCCUACCUUUCAACCUUAACGAUGGAAAUUUCCUUUCUUGUUCCUUGUAAAAAAGGGGAAAUUUCCAUUCGGUUUUAAGACUGAAAAAGCCUGCCAAGCUUUCCUACUAAAAGUUUUUGUGCCAGCUAGGGAUGCAUUUUAUUGUUCUUUAUUCGUUUUCAUCGAGAGUCGAAGACGGCGAGCAAAAAAACAAGAAGAAAUUUUUUGUCUACUUUUUUCACUUCCCCUUUGUGUGUGUACUUACUACUUAUCUUUGCAAUACAUCUCUCUGAGUGAGAAAGU
rnacentral:ribozyme from 1 species